rnacentral:rRNA from 1 species
UACGUAGGGUGCAAGCGUUGUCCGGAAUUAUUGGGCGUAAAGAGCUCGUAGGCGGUUUGUCGCGUCCGCUGUGAAAACUCAGGGCUUAACCCUGAGCCUGCUUCCGAUACGGGCAGACUAGAGGUAUGCAGGGGAGAACGGAAUUCCUGGUGUAGCGGUGAAAUGCGCAGAUAUCAGGAGGAACACCGGUGGCGAAGGCGGUUCUCUGGGCAUUACCUGACGCUGAGGAGCGAAAGUGUGGGGAGCGAACAGG